GGGAGCUUGCUCCCCGGGUGACGAGCGGCGGACGGGUGAGUAAUGUCUGGGAAACUGCCUGAUGGAGGGGGAUAACUACUGGAAACGGUAGCUAAUACCGCAUAACGUCGCAAGACCAAAGAGGGGGACCUUCGGGCCUCUUGCCAUCAGAUGUGCCCAGAUGGGAUUAGCUAGUAGGUGGGGUAAUGGCUCACCUAGGCGACGAUCCCUAGCUGGUCUGAGAGGAUGACCAGCCACACUGGAACUGAGACACGGUCCAGACUCCUACGGGAGGCAGCAGUGGGGAAUAUUGCACAAUGGGCGCAAGCCUGAUGCAGCCAUGCCGCGUGUGUGAAGAAGGCCUUCGGGUUGUAAAGCACUUU
rnacentral:rRNA from 1 species